rnacentral:rRNA from 1 species
CCUACGGGUGGCUGCAGUGGGGAAUAUUGGACAAUGGGGGGAACCCUGAUCCAGCCAUGCCGCGUGUGUGAAGAAGGCCCUCGGGUUGUAAAGCACUUUCAGUGAGGAAGAACGCCUGGUGGUUAAUACCCAUCAGGAAAGACAUCACUCACAGAAGAAGCACCGGCUAACUCCGUGCCAGCAGCCGCGGUAAUACGGAGGGUGCGAGCGUUAAUCGGAAUUACUGGGCGUAAAGCGCGCGUAGGUGGCUUGAUAAGCCGGUUGUGAAAGCCCCGGGCUCAACCUGGGAACGGCAUCCGGAACUGUCAAGCUAGAGUGCAGGAGAGGAAGGUAGAAUUCCCGGUGUAGCGGUGAAAUGCGUAGAGAUCGGGAGGAAUACCAGUGGCGACGGCGGCCUUCUGGACUGACACUGACACUGAGGUGCGAAAGCGUGGGUAGCAAACAGGAUUAGAUACCCUAGUAGUC